GAUGAACGCUGGCGGCGUGCCUAAUACAUGCAAGUCGAGCGAACAGACGAGGAGCUUGCUCCUCUGACGUUAGCGGCGGACGGGUAAGUAACACGUGGAUAACCUACCUAUAAGACUGGGAUAACUUCGGGAAGCCGGAGCUAAUACCGGAUAAUAUAUUGAACCGCAUGGUUCAAUAGUGAAAGACGGUUUUGCUGUCACUUAUAGAUGGAUCCGCGCCGCAUUAGCUAGUUGGUAAGGUAACGGCUUACCAAGGCAACGAUGCGUAGCCGACCUGAGAGGGUGAUCGGCCACACUGGAACUGAGACACGGUCCAGACUCCUACGGGAGGCAGCAGUAGGGAAUCUUCCGCAAUGGGCGAAAGCUUGACGGAGCAACGCCGCGUGAGUGAUGAAGGUCUUCGGAUCGUAAAACUCUGUUAUUAGGGAAGAACAAAUGUGUAAGUAACUAUGCACGUCUUGACGGUACCUAAUCAGAAAGCCACGGCUAACUACGUG
rnacentral:rRNA from 1 species